rnacentral:rRNA from 1 species
GACGAACGCUGGCGGCGUGCUUAACACAUGCGAGUCGAACGGAAAGGCCUGCUUUCCCUUGUGGAUUGCGGGUACUCGAGUGGCGAACGGGUGAGUAACACGUGAGUGAUCUGCCCCCAACUUGGGUAUAAGCCUGGGAAACUGGGUCUAAUUCCCGAUAGGACUGCAGGGUGGUGCCUGUGGUGGAAAACGAUUUUCUAGUGGUUGGGGAUGAGCUCGCGGCCUAUCAGCUUGUUGGUGGGGUAAUGGCCUACCAAGGCGGCGACGGGUAGCCGGCCUGAGAGGGUGGACGGCCACAUUGGGACUGAGAUACGGCCCAGACUCCUACGGGAGGCAGCAGUGGGGAAUAUUGCACAAGGGGCGGAAGCCUGAUGCAGCGACGCCGCGUGGGGGAUGACGGCCUUCGGGUGGUAAACUCCUUUCGACCGCGAGGAAGCCACCUGGUUGGAAGGGUGGUGACGGUAGUGGUAGAAGAAGCACCGGCUAACUACGUG